CGGAGCGUGUGGUUUAAUUCGAUGAUACGCGAAGAACCUCACCCAGGUUUGACAUGCAUGUGGUACCAAGGUGAAAGCUGAGGGACCCUUCGGGGAGCAUGCACAGGUGUUGCACGGCCGUCGUCAGCUCGUGCCGUGAGGUGUUGGGUUAAGUCCCGCAACGAGCGCAACCCCUGUCGCCAGUUGUAUUUUUCUGGCGAGACUGCCGAGAAAACCUCGGAGGAAGGAGGGGACGAUGUCAGGUCAGCGUGGCCCUUACGCCUGGGGCUACACACACGCUACAAUGGGCAGUACAACGGGUCGCGAAGCCGCGAGGUGGAGCUAAUCCCAUCAAAGCUGUCCUCAGUUCGGAUUGCAGGCUGAAACCCGCCUGCAUGAAGCCGGAGUUGCUAGUAACCGCAGGUCAGCAUUACUGCGGUGAAUACGUUCCCGGGCCUU
rnacentral:rRNA from 1 species